AUACGGAGGGUGCAAACGUUGUUCGGAAUCACUGGGCAUAAAGAGCUCGUAGGCGGCUGUGCAAGUGUGAAGUGAAAUCCCACGGCUCACCCGUGGAACUGCUUUGCAGACUGCACGGCUAGAGGAUGGUAGGGGAGAGCGGAACUCCUGGUGGAGCGGUGAAAUGCGUAGAUAUCAGGAGGAACACCGGUGGCGAAGGCGGCUCUCUGGUCCAUUUCUGACGCUGAGGAGCGAAAGCUAGGGUAGCGAACGGGAUUAGAAACCCCGGUAGUCC
rnacentral:rRNA from 1 species